UGAGGGCUUUGGGCCAGGGGUCCCAAGGCAGCCGCAGGGGCCCGAGCCCAGAGAGCAGGGGCAGCUGGGCCGGCCUAAGGGAACUUAAGUGCCAGGCGGGAAGAGGACUUUGGGCUGGGGAUUGAUGGGGAGCCCAUCCAGAGCAUGCAUGUCAGGGGAGUGAGCACGGGGACCUGGACUGUGCUGAGCAUGGAGUGAGGAAGAUGAGCACAGAGAGACCCCCGGGACUACAUGAGGCCUGGCAGCUGACUGCAUGUGGGGUGAAAAAAGGAGGCCACAGGACAGCAUGCAGGGAGAGAGAAAAAAAUAGAGGAGGAGGAAGCUGGGGAGAUCACACCUUUGAUCCCCUUGUUCCUGGAAAGUGGAAGGAAGUUCACCUGCUAGGAGUGAGAAAGUGGACACAUUGGGUGGGGAUGAGGCUGGAGUGCUGUGGCACCAUCAUGGCUCACUGCAGCCUCAACCUCCUGGGCUCAAGUGAUCCUCCUGCCUCAGCCUCCCAUGUAGCUAGAACUACAGAUACAUGUACCACCAUGUCUGGCUAAUUUAUUUUUCUUUUUAGAGAUGGGUUCUCACUAUAUUGCCCAGGCUGGUCUCAAACCCCUGGGCUCAAGUGAUCCUCACGCCUGCCUCCCAAAGUGCUAAGAUUAUAGGCAUGACCACCAUGCCUGGCCUUUUCUGCCUUCUGAGGAGGAAAAAGGUACUAGUGGCAGAGAUCCAAAAGAAAAGUUGCCAGUGGCAGUGUGGAAAUUGACCUGAGAACAACAGAACAAGCUGGGGCACAAAUCCAAAGAUG
rnacentral:sRNA from 1 species